rnacentral:tRNA from 1 species
CAAAAUAUAGCUUAACUAAAGCAGGCCGUUUACACCGAGAAGUUAUCUGUGAGAUUCAGAUUAUUUUGA